UACGGAGGGUGCGAGCGUUGUCCGGAAUCACUGGGCGUAAAGGGCGCGUAGGCGGCGCGGAUAGUCGGCGGUGAAAGCCCGGAGCUCAACUCCGGGUCGGCCGUCGAUACUUCCGGGCUUGAGCACUGUAGAGGCAGAUGGAAUUCCGGGUGUAGCGGUGGAAUGCGUAGAGAUCCGGAAGAACACCGGUGGCGAAGGCGGUCUGCUGGGCAGUUGGCUGCGCUGAUGCGCGACAGCGUGGGGGAGCAAACGAG
rnacentral:rRNA from 1 species